CGAGGGGCAGCGGGGGCGAAAGCUUGCUUUCGCCUGCCGGCGACCGGCGCACGGGUGAGUAACACGUAUGAAACCUGCCCUAUGCAGGGGGAUAAGCGGAAGAAAUUCCGUCUAAUACCGCAUAACACCAUUUGGAGACAUCUCCAGGUGGUCAAAGGAGGCGACUCCGGCAUAGGAUGGCCAUGCGUGGCAUUAGCUAGUCGGCGGGGUAACGGCCCACCGAGGCGACGAUGCGUAGGGGUUCUGAGAGGAAGGUCCCCCACACUGGUACUGAGACACGGACCAGACUCCUACGGGAGGCAGCAGUGAGGAAUAUUGGUCAAUGGGCGCAAGCCUGAACCAGCCAAGUCGCGUGAGGGAAGACGGUCCUAUGGAUUGUAAACCUCUUUUGUCGGGGAGCAAAGCGCGGUACGAGUACCGUGAAGGAGAGUACCCGAAGAAAAAGCAUCGGCUAACUCCGUGCCAGCAGCCGCGGUAAUACGGAGGAUGCGAGCGUUAUCCGGAUUUAUUGGGUUUAAAGGGUGCGUAGGCGGAUUUGUAAGUCAGCGGUAAAAAUGCGGUGCUCAACGCCGUAUCGCCGUUGAAACUGAGGGUCUUGAGUGAGCGAGAAGUAUGCGGAACGCGUGGUGUAGCGGUGAAAUGCAUAG
rnacentral:rRNA from 1 species